GGCUGGUCCAAGUGCAGCGGUGUUUACAGCUAAUUGAUCACAAUCAGUUACAGAUUUCUUUGUUCCUUCUCUAUUCCCACUGCUUCACUUGACUAGCUUAAA
rfam:Cavia porcellus supercont2_77 genomic scaffold, whole genome shotgun sequence.